rnacentral:rRNA from 1 species
GAUGAACGCUAGCUACAGGCUUAACACAUGCAAGUCGAGGGGCAGCACAGUGUAGCAAUACAGUGGGUGGCGACCGGCGCACGGGUGCGUAACGCGUAUCCAACCUUCCCGAUACUCUUGGAUAGCCUUCCGAAAGGGAGAUUAAUACAAGAUGGUGUUUCACUUUCGCAUGUUAUUGAAACUAAAGAUUUAUCGGUAUCGGAUGGGGAUGCGUGACAUUAGAUAGUAGGCGGGGUAACGGCCCACCUAGUCUACGAUGUCUAGGGGUUCUGAGAGGAAGGUCCCCCACACUGGAACUGAGACACGGUCCAGACUCCUACGGGAGGCAGCAGUGAGGAAUAUUGGUCAAUGGGCGCAAGCCUGAACCAGCCAAGUAGCGUGAAGGAUGACUGCCCUAUGGGUUGUAAACUUCUUUUUACGGGAACAAAUGUGACUACGUGUAGUUAUUUGCGUGUACCGUACGAAUAAGCAUCGGCUAACUCCGUG